GAUGAACGCUGGCGGCGUGCCUAAUACAUGCAAGUCGAGCGAACAGACGAGGAGCUUGCUCCUCUGACGUUAGCGGCGGACGGGUGAGUAACACGUGGAUAACCUACCUAUAAGACUGGGAUAACUUCGGGAAACCGGAGCUAAUACCGGAUAAUAUAUUGAACCGCAUGGUUCAAUAGUGAAAGACGGUUUUGCUGUCACUUAUAGAUGGAUCCGCGCCGCAUUAGCUAGUUGGUAAGGUAACGGCUUACCAAGGCGACGAUGCGUAGACGACCUGUGAGGGUGAUCGGCCACACUGGAACUGAGACACGGUCAAGACUCCUACGGGAGGCAGCAGUAGGGAAUCGUCGGCAAUGGGCGAAAGCAUGACGGAGCAACGCCGCGUGAGUGAUGAAGGUCUUCGGAUCGUAAAACUCUGUUAUUAGGGAAGAACAAAUGUGUAAGUAACUAUGCACGUCUUGACGGUACCUAAUCAGAAAGCCACGGCUAACUACGUG
rnacentral:rRNA from 1 species